ACUCGAGUGGCGAACGGGUGAGUAACACGUGGGUGAUCUGCCCUGCACUUUGGGAUAAGCCUGGGAAACUGGGUCUAAUACCGAAUAUGACCACGCGCUUCAUGGUGUGUGGUGGAAAGCUUUUGCGGUGUGGGAUGGGCCCGCGGCCUAUCAGCUUGUUGGUGGGGUAAUGGCCUACCAAGGCGACGACGGGUAGCCGGCCUGAGAGGGUGACCGGCCACACUGGGACUGAGAUACGGCCCAGACUCCUACGGGAGGCAGCAGUGGGGAAUAUUGCACAAUGGGCGCAAGCCUGAUGCAGCGACGCCGCGUGAGGGAUGACGGCCUUCGGGUUGUAAACCUCUUUCAAUAGGGACGAAGC
rnacentral:rRNA from 1 species